rnacentral:tRNA from 1 species
AAGGCCUUAGUUUAACAAAAACAUUUGAUUUGCAAUCAGAUUUGCAAUCAGAAAAUGCAAUAGGUCUUA